rnacentral:rRNA from 1 species
GAUGAACGCUAGCGGCAGGCUUAACACAUGCAAGUCGAGGGGUAUAGUAGCAAUACUAGAGACCGGCGCACGGGUGCGUAACGCGUAUGCAAUCUACCUUUUACAGAGGGAUAGCCCAGAGAAAUUUGGAUUAAUACCUCAUAGUAUAACGACCUGGCAUCAGGAUGUUAUUAAAAGUCACAACGGUAAAAGAUGAGCAUGCGUCCCAUUAGCUUGUUGGAAGGUAACGGCUUACCAAGGCUACGAUGGGUAGGGGUCCUGAGAGGGAGAUCCCCACCAC